AUUGAACGCUGGCGGAAUGCUUUACACAUGCAAGUCGAACGAUGAACCUUAGCUUGCUAAGGGGAUUAGUGGCGAACGGGUGAGUAAUAUAUCGGAACGUGCCUUGUAAUGGGGGAUAACUAGUCGAAAGAUUAGCUAAUACCGCAUACGCCCUGAGGGGGAAAGUAGGGGAUCUUCGGACCUUACGUUAUAAGAGCGGCCGAUAUCUGAUUAGCUAGUUGGUGGGGUAAUGGCCUACCAAGGCGACGAUCAGUAGCUGGUCUGAGAGGACGACCAGCCACACUGGAACUGAGACACGGUCCAGACUCCUACGGGAGGACGCAGUGGGGAAUUUUGGACAAUGGGCGCAAGCCUGAUCCAGCCAUUCCGCGUGAGUGAAGAAGGCCUUCGGGUUGUAGAGCUCUUUCGCAAGGGAAGAAAACUUACCAUCGAAUAAAUGGUGAGGCUGACGGUACCUUGAUAAGAAGCACCGGCUAACUACGUG
rnacentral:rRNA from 1 species